GGGCGUUUGGCGCAGUUGGUAGCGCACUUGAACGACAUUCAAGGGGUCACAAGUUCGAGCCUUGUAUCGCCCACCA
rnacentral:tRNA from 1 species